UUUGAAAUCUGACAAAGUGGUUGCAUAAAGGAGUAGAUUAUCUCUAAUUCUUUAAAUAAUUGUUAUAUAUUUUUUUUCAACGUUUUAUGAGUUCUUCCGUAAAUUAAAUGUGUCUUUUCACCGGAUGUUAUGGGGAGAAAACAUUUUCUGAACGUCACGCACCAAUGUAAAAAUUGUUUUUUUUGGAUGUAAAUAUAAACUUGAUCGAACUAAAAAUGCAUGUAUUGUCUAACAUGAUGUCCUAGGAGUGUCAUCUGAUUCAGAUUGUCAAAGUCUGAGGUCGGUAACGUCAACAGUGAGGACAAUCCCAGCCUGUCUCUCUCCUUCCACACUGAGUCCAAACCUACAGUCACUGGGUCCUGAUUGUGACAGUGGAGCCCAGUUUGCACUGCAGGAUCCAGAGAUGGAAUCAGUGAAGCUGGAAGACUGCAGUCAAACACUGGAGCUGAAUGUCAACAUUAAAGAAGAAGAGGAGGAGGAGAUUGUCUCAACAUGGUCUCCAUUCUCUACAUCCAGAGAGCAACAGCAGGAAGAUCACAGAGCUAAGAGGUCUCACCACUGCCCACAUUCUCCUCUGUCAGAAACAACUUGAAGCACUCUGCCUCAGAUGGAAAUGGACUCCAGACUGGGACUCAUCAAAACAAACAGCAGGGCCAGGAGGGGUGAAAUGACUAGCGGCCUUCCAGCUACCACAGAACUCCUGUACUUCAUCCACUGUCGGUCUCCCUCCAUCACCACCAGCAUCUUCAAAGGGACCUGGUACUUGGUCAGUGGACAAGGGAACCUCAGAUUCAGGGUUCUCAAUGGCUACAAGGUUGGGGGGGGGGGGCAGCUCCUCACUGUCAGAAUCUGAUUCCUGACUUUCAGACUCAGACUCAUUGUCAGAAUUGUAAAAAAAAUCUCCAGAAUUUCCACAUUUGUGAGUUGUCUCCUUUUGAAAGACAUUGCUAAUGCUACAGCUUAGCUCACUAGCUACAUACAUAAACAACAACACUGAAUGGCUCAGAGUGAGAGGGGACGUGAUUGACUGCCGGCGUGCGUCACUUGUAUCAAUAAAUCACCAUCAGAAAAUGUUUUGUGAGGUAAUUAUUUGUGUAUUUACUGUUUUAUUCACAUGUUUUCAGUUCUGGGUGACAAAUCAUGCAUUCCGAUUCUUGCAUAGAUUGUAAUGGGCACAUAUUAUGUGUGUAAAAUACUUAUUUGAAGGUUAUACUGAUUAUGAUGAGCUAUGUGUAUGGAGCCAUGUUUGUUGACAUACAAUGCAUUCUGGGUUUCACGUAAUCAUCCGUUUGACCAAAGAUGUUAUAACAAAAUGAGGUGAGUAAGAGUUCACUCAUUUUUUGAGGACUUCUGGAAAUGAAUGGUGGGAUGUGAACGACGGUAGAUGACACACCCCUUCAACACUAUAAACAGACCGAACUCAUCUUGUCUUUUAUUAUCUUCGGUUUCUGUGAGGGAAAAAUGCAUGGCUGCGCGCUGAAACUAAUCGUCGGAUUACUGUCGAUUUAUAGGAAGUGUUUUACCUAAUUAUUUCGAUCAAUGGUGAGCUCACCCCGUGAUGUGAUUAAUUAUACAUAGUAAUUGCAAUUAGCUAAUUCAUAUUGUAGUUUACAUCAGCCGAGAGUUAGAAAAUAUGACUGCUUGUGUUGGGUCAAUCUUUCUUCAGUUAGCGCUACGACAAAUGUAGCCUACAUUUUUUCCGGUUAGGAUGAUUGUGUUGUGCUAUAUAUAUA
rnacentral:lncRNA from 1 species